ensembl:lncRNA
CACAGCUCGGGACAGAAGUGUCUGAUAUGCAAGACCAACUGUAAAGGCAACAACGAGGUCCCUUCCGAGGAGGCCCUGGUGUUGCACCUGCGACUGGCCAAGGGCCAGGAGAAACUGGUGGAGGCCCUGAGGAGUCAGCAGGACGAGAUCCGAGAGCUCCAGCACAGACUGAGCGAGCAGCAGGGGACGCUGGCCAGCCAGCAGAGAGAGAUGCUGGAGCAGCAGAGCAGAAUGUACCAGCAGAUGGAUCAGGUCAAGGCACAGUAUGGCCUGCUCCUGGAGAGUGUCAAGCAGGUGUCCUUCCAGGGCAUUCACAGCCAGCUGGAGAGCCAUGUGUUGAGCCAACGAGGCCAGACCAGGGUCCCCAGCCCCCAGGCCUACGCUGUACACAAGGUGGACGUGGAGGCCAGCGUGAUGGAGGUGGAGCGACCCGCAUGCGGCGCCUGUGGCGCGGAGGAGUACUGCCACCUCGGGACUGGCCUGCCGCGGUGUGAGAGGUGCACCGUCUGCCCGCCGGGCUUCUUCCUGGUGUCCCAGUGCUCCGUAUACGCCGACAGGAUAUGCCAGGACAGGGAUGAGUGCCUUGAAAUAUCAAACCUUUGUGGGCAACAGGAGAAAUGUCUGAACACUCCAGGCGGAUUCAGAUGCCAGGGCUUGUCUGAGAGAGAGGCCAGCACAGGCUUUUGUGGACACGCCUACUUCUACAACGCUGAGAUGGAGGAGUGCCAGGCCUGUCAGGACUGUGAGCUGGAGCAAGUGGCCAAACCCUGCACCUUCACGAGUGACACCGUCUGCUCCGCCCCCUCCCCCACUGACAGCAGCAGGCUGUCCCUGGCCUGGGCCGGGGAUGUGACCCUGCCCCCCGCCAAGGGCCACGCCCCUGGCCACGCCUUCCCCAACAUGCAUCUCUACAUUCAGGCCCGAGGAGAGAGCGAGCUGCUCUCCACUGAGGAUGGCGGCCUGGUGCUGCGACACCACGGCCUGGUCUGGGCUGACGAGAACCUGGCCCUUAACCACGGCUGCCGCAGUUUCGUCCAGGUUUGCCUGCGGCUCAAUGCCAGCGACCGGGCCGAGGGGCGGGACCUAAGCGGGAUCAGGGUGGAGCAGCGCGAGGUUAAGACGCUCCAAAGUGCAUUGAUCAGUGGCGUGGCAGAAGUUGCUCCGGGGAGCACACUCUCCUUGCUCCUCCGGAGUGCCAGUCACCACUGCAACCACACCAGUGACGGCCUGCACAUCCACGACCCCCUGGCGCCUCCCCUCAGCCUCCUCUGGCUGUCACACGACACCGGGGCAGUUGCUAUGACGGCGCAGGCAGUCUCGUCGGCACACUACCACAACAACUACCGGCCCGCCUUUAAGACCACGUCCACCUCCGACCCGUACGUGGUGGGGCUGACGCAUGACGGGCGCGGAGUGCGCUUCACCGAAAGCGGCACGGUGCGCUUCGUGUUCCAGCAGGCACUCUACUCCAUGGGCCAGGCGUGCGUGACCGAAGGCCUCCAUCUCCUGGCCUACGUAAACCGCAACGGGAGCAGCGUGGAGCUGGCGCGUACCUUCAAGACGGGCGUCCACUACCGCGACACGUCCAUCUCCCUGUCGGCCGCAACCGGUGUGGGUCCCGGUGACACCCUGGGCUUUGAGAUCCUCUCCCCGGGACAGUGCAACAUCCGCUACUUCGGCGACGACUCCGGGAUCAGCGCUCUCAGCCUGGUGUGGGUCCCCGCCGCCAUUUCCUCAGCCGUCUCCGUCUCCGUGGCGCGCACAGGCUUGCCCGCCGGAGCCGUGCGCAACAAGCCCCUGUACUUUUGCCAGGUCACGCCUACCGUGCUGCAGGUGCAGGUCGGGUUUCCGGGGAAGGUCCGUGCGGAACAGGGACGCGAGUUCGUCUUCACGGAAAGCGGAACUGCCAACUUGGCACUGGACCUGAAACUGAUACACUCCUGCAGCCAGGUUAAAGUCACGUUACUCCGGCGUGAAGGCGAACGGGAGGAGGGGAAACCGGUCCUUCUGGCCCAGCAGGUCGGAGGGCCGAUGCCGGAAGGAAGCGAGUGGACCAGCGUGGGUCUGAGAGCUUCCUUUCAGGUUCAGAAUGGAACGAUGGUUUUUGUCACAUUGGAUUGCGUUCGUGGUCGUGUCAACCAGAUCAGCCACCAGGCAGGAAGUGGAGUCUCGAUACUAUGGGUGGCUGCGUAGCAUCAGUCUAGAUCUACUCAAUUAAUGCUCUAGGUGGCACCAUAGCAUUACCGUAGUGACGACAAAAUAAUAAUACCAUAAUACUUUGCUAACAUACAGCAGUUCUUACGCAUCUUUCAGUGCCCUUUGAUCAAUUCAGUUGGCCAACUUUAGCAUGGUUUUCAUUAAAGCUCAAUUCCAAAACCGUAAAGCAAAAAAUGUAAUAACUUAUAGUAGACCAAAAAGAUGUUGGUGAGUAGCAGGUUUAUGGUCUUCAAUACAGAUAGUCUUGUACUAUAGUACUUUAUAAUACUCUGACUCUACAGUGACGCUAGAAAUAGAAUUGCUUUUCAACAUUUCUUAGUAUGAAACUUUGUUGAAGUAGAAAUUUGGUUUGUGCAUAUUUUGAUACUGUUAUAUUGUACAUAAUUGAGUUACUGUAUUGAUGCCAGUGUUUUAUAUCAGAUAGUUGUUGUUACAUUUUAAAUCUCUGCUGUCAACAACGAAGAUUGUUCUGGGCUGGUUUUACUCUGAAGUAUGUUCAAAGCAUAUGUUUCAGGUUAUUUGCCGCUUUCUGCAUGCUUUAUUUAAUGACCAUUGUCAGGACAUCCUUGGCUAUGUACAAAGCAGUUUGUACAUUCUUGUAUGGAAGUCCACUUGUGUUAGACAGUUGCAAAGAAGCUUGUCAUUUUAACUUGGAAACUGUAAGUAAUAUAAGUAUAUAUAUAUAUAUAUAUAUAUAUAUAUAUAUAUAUAUAUAUAUAUAUAUACACAUAUAUAUAUAUAUAUAUAUACUUAAAAAAAUAUAUAUAUAAUUUUCACAGAAUUUUUUUUUUUUAAUUCU